rnacentral:tRNA from 1 species
CAGGAAAUAAUUCAAAUUAAAAUAUUAAAUUUGGAGUUUAAAAAUGGUUAAAACCCUUUCCUGA